GUGCCCAUAGUUUAGUGGUAAAACUUCGGUCUGUGGAUCCGAUGUCGAGAGUUCGAUUCUCUCUGGGCACC
rnacentral:tRNA from 1 species